rnacentral:misc_RNA from 1 species
GAUCAUUACUGUGAUUUAUCCACCACACUGCGUGGGCGACACGAAACACCGAAACCGAACGCACGCCGUCAAGCAAGAAAUCCACAAAACUUUCAACAACGGAUCUCUUGGUUCUCGCAUCGAUGAAGAGCGCAGCGAAAUGCGAUACCUAGUGUGAAUUGCAGCCAUCGUGAAUCAUCGAGUUCUUGAACGCACAUUGCGCCCGCUGGUAUUCCGGCGGGCAUGCCUGUCUGAGCGUCGUUUCCUUCUUGGAGCGGAGCUUCAGACCUGGCGGGCUGUCCUUGGGGACGGCGCGCCCAAAGCGAGGGGCCUUCUGCGCGAACUAGACUGUGCGCGCGGGGCGGCCGGCGAACUUAUACCAAGCUCGACCUCAGAUC